GAUGAACGCUAGCGGCAGGCUUAACACAUGCAAGUCGAGGGGUAUAGUUCUUCGGAACUAGAGACCGGCGCACGGGUGCGUAACGCGUAUGCAAUCUACCUUUUACAGGGGGAUAGCCCAGAGAAAUUUGGAUUAAUACCCCAUAGUAUGUUAGAGUGGCAUCAUUUUAACAUUAAAGUUCCAACGGUAAAAGAUGAGCAUGCGUCCCAUUAGCUAGAUGGUAAGGUAACGGCUUACCAUGGCGACGAUGGGUAGGGGUCCUGAGAGGGAGACCCCCCACACUGGUACUGAGACACGGACCAGACUCCUACGGGAGGCAGCAGUGAGGAAUAUUGGACAAUGGGCGCAAGCCUGAUCCAGCCAUGCCGCGUGCAGGAAGACGGUCCUAUGGAUUGUAAACUGCUUUUGUACAGGAAGAAACACUCCCUCGUGAGGGAGCUUGACGGUACUGUAAGAAUAAGGAUCGGCUAACUCCGUGCCAGCCGCCGCCGUAAUAC
rnacentral:rRNA from 1 species